rnacentral:rRNA from 1 species
CAGGUCACUCCUACGGGAGGCAGCAGUAGGGAAUCUUGCGCAAUGGGCGAAAGCCUGACGCAGCCAUGCCGCGUGUAUGAUGAAGGUCUUAGGAUUGUAAAAUACUUUCACCGGGGAAGAUAAUGACGGUACCCGGAGAAGAAGCACCGGCUAACUCUGUGCCAGCAGCCGCGGUAAUACAGAGGGUGCAAGCGUUGUUCGGAAUUAUUGGGCGUAAAGGGCGCGUAGGCGGUGCGGUAAGUCUGCAGUGAAAUCUCUGGGCUCAACUCAGAGUCUGCAAGCGAAACUGCCGUGCUUGAGUGUCGGAGAGGUAAGUGGAAUUCCCAGUGUAGAGGUGAAAUUCGUAGAUAUUGGGAAGAACACCGGUGGCGAAGGCGGCCAACUGGACCACAACUGACGCUGAGGCGCGAAAGCGUGGGGAGCAAACAGGAUUAGAUACCCUGGUAGUCCACGCUGUAAACGAUGUGUGCUUGACGUCGGAGGGCAUAGCCCCUCGGUGUCGGAGUUAACACGGUAAGCACACCGCCUGGGGAGUACGGUCGCAAGAUUAAAACUUAAAGGAAUUGAC